rnacentral:rRNA from 1 species
CCUACGGGAGGCAGCAGUGGGGAAUAUUGCACAAUGGGGGAAACCCUGAUGCAGCGACGCCGCGUGAGUGAAGAAGUAUUUCGGAAUGUAAAGCUCUAUCAGCAGGGAAGAAAAUGACGGUACCUGAUUAAGAAGCCCCGGCUAACUACGUGCCAGCAGCCGCGGUAAUACGUAGGGGGCAAGCGUUAUCCGGAUUUACUGGGUGUAAAGGGAGCGUAGACGGCAGCACAAGUCAGAUGUGAAAUCCACGGGCUCAACCCGUGAACUGCAUUUGAAACUGUUUCCCUUGAGUGUCGGAGAGGUAAUCGGAAUUCCUAGUGUAGCGGUGAAAUGCGUAGAUAUUAGGAAGAACACCAGUGGCGAAGGCGGAUUACUGGACGAUAACUGACGGUGAGGCGCGAAAGCGUGGGGAGCAAACAGGAUUAGAUACCCGAGUAGUC